AAACAUGGCGGCGGCGGGUGUUGUGAGCGGGAAGGGUGGAUGCUGAUAUACUGCUUGACUUACUGCAUAUUUGAAGGUUAUCCUGUUUGAUUUUCCAUCUAAACUGAUCCAGGCUGGGACUUUUCAAGAGGGGAUCCCUUCCGUUUAAACAUCUCCCUCUUUCAGAUUAUAUAUGAACAAGAAGGAGUAUAUAUUCACUCAUCUUGUGGAAAGACCAAUGACCAAGACAGCUUGAUUUCAGGAAUAUUACGUGUUUUAGAAAAGGAUGCCGAAGUAAUAGUGGACUGGAGACCAUUGGAUGAUGCAUUAGAUUCCUCUAGUAUUCUCUAUGCUAGAAAGGACUCCAGUUCAGUUGUAGAAUGGACUCAGGCCCCAAAAGAAAGAGGUCAUCAAGGAUCAGAACAUCUGAACAGUUACGAAGCAGAAUGGGACAUGGUUAAUACAGUUUCAUUUAAAAGGAAACCACAUACCAAUGGAGUUUGACAGACCUGAAAUCAAUCAAGCAAAACAAAGAGGGUAUGGGCUGGUCCUAUUUGGUAUUCUGUCUAAAGGAUGAC
rnacentral:sRNA from 1 species